rnacentral:miRNA from 1 species
GCAGACACAUUCCAGCCAAUCAGCAGCAGACCCUCCCUCCCAGACCCUCCCACCUCCUGGACAGCAUCCAUUUUACAUCCAUUGUGAAGCUGCAUUCUUAGUGAGCUGUCCAGGAGGUGGGAGGGUCUGGGAGGGAGGGUCUGCUGCUGAUUGGCUGGAAUGUGUCUG